rnacentral:rRNA from 1 species
AUUGAACGCUGGCGGCAGGCCUAACACAUGCAAGUCGAACGAGUGGCGGACGGGUGAGUAAUGUCUGGGAAACUGCCCGAUGGAGGGGGAUAACUACUGGAAACGGUAGCUAAUACCGCAUACCAGCGGAUGUGCCCAGAUGGGAUUAGCUAGUAGGUGGGGUAACGGCUCACCUAGGCGACGAUCCCUAGCUGGUCUGCGAGGAUGACCAGCCCCACUGGAACGGAGCCACGGUCCAGACUCCUACGGGAGGCAGCAGUGGUGAAUAUUGCACAAGGGGCGCAAGCCUGAUGCAGCCAUGCCGCGUGUAUGAAGAAGGCCUUCGGUUUGUAAAGUACUUUCAGCGAGGAGGCGUUACUCGCAGAAGAAGCACCGGCUAACUCCGUGCCAGCAGCCGCGGUAAUUC